rnacentral:rRNA from 1 species
UACGAAGGGGGCUAGCGUUGUUCGGAUUUACUGGGCGUAAAGCGCACGUAGGCGGACUAUUAAGUCAGGGGUGAAAGUCCCGGGGCUCCGAACCCCGGAACUGCCUUUGAUACUGGUAGUCUUGAGUUCGAGAGAGGUGAGUGGAAUUCCGAGUGUAGAGGUGAAAUUCGUAGAUAUUCGGAGGAACACCAGUGGCGAAGGCGGCUCACUGGCUCGAUACUGACGCUGAGGUGCGAAAGCGUGGGGAGCAAACAGG